rnacentral:tRNA from 1 species
UGAGUUUAGCUCAGUGAGAUGAGCAGCUGCCUUUAGACCAGCAGGGCCAGGUUCGAAUCCUGCUCAA